GGAUGUGAAGGCGAUCUGAUUGCAACAUCUGUCACCCUAUUGAUCGCCAGGGUUGAUUUGGCUGAUCUGGUUGGCAAGGCGGGUGUCCCCUUCCUCCCUCCCUGCUCCAUGUGCAUCCCUCCCGAAGCUGCUAGCUCAGUUGAAGAGGACAGCCUUCCCCGAAUAGAGACGGACUGGUUUUUUGGUUGAGGCUAUAUGAGUAGCUGUGCAUCCCUGCUAGAACCUCCAAGAAAGCUCCAAAAAGACCAGAGACAUAACAUGUUCACAGGUAUUUCCUACAUAGCUGACAAAUGUGGCAAAAUGCUCCACCUUCU
rnacentral:snRNA from 1 species